UCAGAGAGGUGCAGCUACACACCAAGGAAGGCCAAGGCUUUAUGGAACACCAGGAGGUAAAAGAGGCCAGGAGGGGUCCUUCCCUGCAGAUCUCACAGGGAGCACAGCCCUGCUCCUUCAUUCUAGACUUCUGACCCCAGAACCGUGAGCGAAAACAUUUCUGCUGCUUUUUUUUUAAGCCACCCAGUUUGUGGUGUUUUGUUAAAACAGAUAUCCAGCUCAUACAGGAUCUGAGCAGGGCCUUGUCAGCUGGGCUUUAUCCCCGCAGGCACAGGAGAUCCUUUGGAUAAUGUCAGGUUGCACAGGAGUGUGUAAGAGCCUCAGAACGCCCCCAUGUCAAGUGCAAACAGCAACACCAGGAGAAGCCGGAAGUCGCCUUUGUCUCAGCCUGGAGCUUAAUGACGUAUGUCAGAGAUGACACCUGUUCAACAAACCAGGCUCGCCCUACACCAGCUGAUCCAGCUGUUGGAGGAAAGGAACAGUAAGGAGGACUGGUAAACACCCCCGGACCCUGGCUCGUCUGGCAUGCCAAGGCCGGCUCAUCCUUGGGGAUUCCGUGACUACACCAGCCACGGGAGCAGAACUGUUUAAAGAACUUUCUAAACCUGAGUCUCUAAGUCCUCAUCCCACAUCAAAAGAAAAAUCUUUAAUUUACACACAUCCCCCAUUCAGCAUAAUUUCUACAUGGCCCUGGGAGAGCUAGCAGCUAUCCAAUAGCUGAUCCAAUGUUUUAUAGACAUUUAAUUCAAUGUUCGUUCAUUUUGAUUUCUCAGUUUUCUUUUCAUAUUUUGAAGUCAAUACACUCCUUUUGGGUUUCCAAACAUUCUCCUACUCAUAAUAAGGGCCUCCAACUUGGACAAUUUGCCUUGAGAGUUUUUCCUUUAGGGUUAUCUCCUGCAUGUCUCUUGUGUAGACCCAGGGUGAGAGCUAGAUCUUUGAGCAAAGGCUUCUCGGUACACUCUCUCUCAUUCCCAAGCAAAGUAGCACGUGGCAUAUAAUGAGCAAUUGUCAGAAUAGUUCGUGCCUCCAGUCUCAGCUGUAAGGCAAAGAAACACACGGGGGAAAAGUUCCCAAACUAUGAAGGAGGUUCAGCACAACGAUCAAUUUUAAAACCUGAAGAUUCGCGAGCAUGCCUUGGUGCAGAUCUGAUUUGCAGAUACAAAAAGUUUCAUUCAUUUCCUAGAGAAACACAAGUUAAUAUAAUUUCGUUUAGAAAUGCUGCUAUCUGAAAAAGCAUUCUAGUACAAUAGAGUCCAGAAGCUGAGACAGAUGUGGGUUUCCAGUUUGAAGGGUGAGAGAUGGUGUGUCUCGGGUAUUAAUGAAAAUCAGAUGCCACCUUGUGGCCAGAAGUAGAAAUUCAGGGAUUUAACUGGGGCCGGGGGUAAAAAACGGGUUGCUCUGGGAUUCAAACACUAUAGAAAUGCAACCACCGGUGACACAGACCACUCAAGUGACGACAGUGGACUCCCACAUUAAUCCUCAAAACACGUCUUUGCUCUAAUCUAUGACAUCCUUACAGACAUAAUCCUUAAUUCACACACAUGCAUUUACAAGCAUCCAGGACACCAUCCUCCUUCACUCCAAUCCAUAGGGCUGGUUGUCACCUCACCCUAAAUUCAGUGUUGAUUAACCCUGAAAAUCUCUCAGGGAGAUUUUGACCUCUGAAGAGUGGAGGUGACAUCACAGAUAUGUUCAAGGGUGUUACAUGAUACACAAUUUCUUUUCAUGAACAAAUAAAAGUCACUUUGGAAGGCAGUUUGGCAGUUUCCUACAAAACUAACAUUCUUACCAUGUAAUCCAGUAAUCACACUCCUUUCAGCCCAAAGGAGUUGAAAACCAUGUGCACACAAAAACCUGUGCACAGGUGUUAUAACAGCUUUAUUCAUAAUUGCCAAAACUUGGAAGCAACCCAGAUUUCCUUUAGAGGGUGAAUGGAUAAACAAACUGUGGUACAACCAGACAAUGGAGUAAUAAUAUUCAGAACUAAAAAGAAAUGAGCUAUCAAGCCAUGAAAAGACAUGGCGGAACUUUAAAUGCAUGUUACUAGGUAAGAGAAGCAAAUCUGAAAAGGCUACAUGCUCUGAUUCCAACUAUGUGACAUCCUGGAAAAGUCAGAACUAUGGAGAGAGCAGAUUGAUGGAUGGUUGCCGGGGGUGACAGGGGAGGGAGGGGUGCGUAGUCAAGCGCAUGAAAUUUCUAGGGCAGUGAAACUGCCCUGCCUGAUACUAUAAUGGUGGACACACGACAUUCUAUAUUUGCUCAAACUCAUCAAAUGUACACCACCAACAGUGAACCCUAAAGUAAACUAUGGUCUUUGGUUAAUGAGUCAGUGUAGGUUCAUCAGCUGUAACACAGGCACCACUCUGGUGGGGGAUGUUGUUAAUGGGGGAGGCUGUGUGUGGUGUGUAGGGUCAGGAGGUAUACGGGAAAUCUCUGUACUAAAGCAUGUAUUUUUUUCAAGUUUAGACAUACAGACUUUGCAAUAAAAAAAUGCCACAGAAAAGCCUCAUUGUUUCUUCCUAGAGUUAUGUACAACGUGAAAAUCAGGGCAAGGCUGCCAUCACUUUCCUUAAGCAGCAGGCACUCAGUAGAACCAAUUUUGUUUCAAGCACUCAGCCUGGAGUUCAACACAGACAACAGUUCUCACUCAGAAUUUAAAAUGACGUAGGCAAAUUAUUUAAUUACUGCUGCACGGAGAAGCAACAAUUAAAGACAUUGAUGUGAAAUACAUUUAUAGCCAUCACUUUCCGAUACCAGAUUCCUGGGGUUUUGUAUUUUAUUUGCAGCGUAGUUUAGGGAGUGAGAAGUGAGUUAUCAGUAAAGCAAAAUGAUAAUGACUGAUUCUCUGUGGAAGGCAGGCUAAAAGGUCUGUGAUGAUUCUCCUUAUCUCAUAAAAAUAUGUCAUAUACUUUAAUAACGGGCUUGGAGACUGGAUAAGUGCCUAUGUCAAAAGAACACAGGCACUAACCAUUAUGUAUAAAGUAGAUAAACA